rnacentral:rRNA from 1 species
AUUGAACGCUGGCGGCAUGCCUUACACAUGCAAGUCGAACGGUAACGCGGGGCAACCUGGCGACGAGUGGCGAACGGGUGAGUAAUGCAUCGGAACGUGCCCGGUAGUGGGGGAUAACUGCUCGAAAGAGCAGCUAAUACCGCAUACGACCUGAGGGUGAAAGGGGGGGAUCGCAAGACCUCUCGCUAUCGGAGCGGCCGAUGUCGGAUUAGCUAGUUGGUGGGGUAAAAGCCCACCAAGGCAACGAUCCGUAGCUGGUCUGAGAGGACGACCAGCCACACUGGGACUGAGACACGGCCCAGACUCCUACGGGAGGCAGCAGUGGGGAAUUUUGGACAAUGGACGCAAGUCUGAUCCAGCCAUGCCGCGUGCGGGAAGAAGGCCUUCGGGUUGUAAACCGCUUUUGUCAGGGAAGAAAUCUUCUGAGUUAAUACCUCGGGAGGAUGACGGUAUCUGAAGAAUAAGCACCGGCUAACUACGUGCCAGCCGCCGCAGUAAAAC